UUGGAUCUACCCUCUCUUUGUGUUUUCCCAAACCCAACCGUGACACAGAGAUCGUGAGGACUUGAUUGCUGGGAUUGAUGAGUUUUUGGAUGAGGUGAUCGUUCUUCCUCCUGGAGAAUGGGACCCCAAGAUCCGCAUCGAACCCCCGAAGAAACUGCCUUCCGCAGAGAUGAGGAAGUCUGUUUUCUCUCUGAAUGAGCUGGGGCAUCCGAAUGGGAAUGCAGGAGGAGGUGCAGCGUCUGCAGAAGAAGAGGACCUGCCAGCUCCUCAUGAACUAGGAGAGGAGCUGAAAUUCACUGGCUGAUUUUGUGGAGGACUGUGGCUGAACAUUAAACGUAAAGUGCCCUGGUUUCUCAGUGACUUCUAUGAGGGCUUCCACAUCCAGUCCAUCUCUGCGGUGCUCUUCAUUUACCUGGGCUGCAUCACCAAUGCAAUCACCUUUGGAGGACUGCUGGGGGACGCAACCGACAACUACCAAGUAAUUAACCUUAGAGCCACAAAUGUUUUCCAUGGGCGAUGCUUACAUCUACAGAGCUGAUAUAAGACCAAUAUUCUGUUAUAUUCUACAUGAUGCUCAA
rnacentral:lncRNA from 1 species